CACACACUCCCUCCGUCCUGAAUUACUUCAUAGAUUUGUCUGGAUACGGAUGUAUCUAGACAUGUUUUAGUGUUAGGUGCAUCCGUAUCUAGAAAAAUCUAAGACACGCUUUUUGGGACGGAGGUAGUAUUUA
rnacentral:pre_miRNA from 1 species